ACAGACGGAAACAAAACUUAUGAUCAGAUUCAUUGACCAUGAGACAGGUCAUCUCCUGGCAGCACCCCACCUACCUCAAAGAAGAUGAUGAGCAUUAAAGAACUUCCAUAUGGAGACGGCUUCAAAUGUGACAAAUGAGCCAACUGGACAAAAAGAAAAUGCCCUCGUUUCACAACAGACAGAUUUCUGCUAAAAAAUGGGCAAACUUAAAUGCAGGAGAAGUCGACGGCUGAACUCUGCCAAGACAGGCUCUCAGAGUGCCAUUUGUUUUGUGUACCUUGGUUC